AACGAACGCUGGCGGCAUGCCUAACACAUGCCAGUCGAACGAGACCUUCGGGUCUAGUGGCGCACGGGUGCGUAACGCGUGGGAACCUGCCCUUAGGUUCGGAAUAACUCCCCGAAAGGGGUGCUAAUACCGGAUAAUGUCUUCGGACCAAAGAUUUAUCGCCUUUGGAUGGGCCCGCGUUGGAUUAGCUAGUUGGUAGGGUAAAAGCCUACCAAGGCGACGAUCCAUAGCUGGUCUGAGAGGAUGAUCAGCCACACUGGGACUGAGACACGGCCCAGACUCCUACGGGAGGCAGCAGUGGGGAAUAUUGGACAAUGGGCGAAAGCCUGAUCCAGCAAUGCCGCGGGAGUGAUGAAGGCCUUAGGGUUGUAAAGCUCUUUUACCCGGGAUGAUAAUGACAGUACCGGGAGAAUAAGCUCCGGCUAACUCCGG
rnacentral:rRNA from 1 species